UUUAAAUCCGAUAACCUGGAUUAACAAUAGAAAUUCCCUGAUUAUUAUUUCAGAAUAAUAAUUCAUGCAUAAGGAUCAUGCAUAGUUAAAUACACAUUCUCAUUUGAGGAUUUUUAUUCGAGCAAAUAUCUUAUAUAUGUACAUAUAUUCUCGUAAUAAAGGUCAAGGGCGAGAUUGACAAUCUAUUGAGGAGCUUCUGUACCACAAAAAGUUUCUAACAGGUUGAGCAGCUGCCGAUGGUGAUGAAGUGACGAGCGGGAUUCUUUUGUCUUAUUAUGUAUUAAUGAACUCUAGGGUUACAUGUCUUCAUACAUGUAAUCAGAAUCAUAUUCCGCUGCGUACUCAGAAGUUUUAUGUUUAUUUGGCUAAGUCAGAGAUAUCUGAACUUACUAGUUAUUUGAGUCUAUACGACUAAACUUCUGUUAUAUUAUAAAUAUUCCUUUUGUUAAAUUAUGAAA